rnacentral:sRNA from 1 species
UUUACAUGAACAAUGCAAAUGUGAAGAGAUUUGAAGGGGAGGGAUGAGAAGACAGGGAGCUGGCAAAUAAAUGAAGCCCUGUUCGCUCUUAAAUCACUUUGAAUGGCAUUGAAUGCCCCAGAGGAGCCCGAAACCUCCCAGGCUUGGUGCAGGAAGGAGAGCCCUUCAGCGAGGAAGCUACACUUUUCACCAAGGAACUGGUGCUGCAGCGAGAGUGCCUCCCAGACAACAGCCUCAUCAUCCACCUGAAGUACAAGUAAUAAUUUGAGAAUAUGACAGUGGCAUAUAAAAGGGAGUAGGUGAUGUGAUGGAGGCAGACAGAAGAGGUGGAGGUGGAGGUGGAGAGCAUGGACAAGGCUGGCAACUUUAUCGGCUGGCUGCACAUCGACGGUGCCAACCUGUCCGUCCUGCUGGUGGAGCACGCGCUCUCCAAGGUCCACUUCACCGCCGAACGCAGCUCCUACUACAAGUCCCUGCUGUCUGCCGAGGAGGCCGCAAAGCAGAAGAAAGAGAAGGUCUGGGCCCACUAUGAGGAGCAGCCCGUGGAGGAGGUGAUGCCAGUGCUGGA